rnacentral:rRNA from 1 species
CCUACGGGAUGCAGCAGUGAGGAAUAUUGGUCAAUGGACGAGAGUCUGAACCAGCCAAGUAGCGUGAAGGAUGACUGCCCUAUGGGUUGUAAACUUCUUUUAUAUGGGAAUAAAAUGUUCCACGUGUGGGAUUUUGUAUGUACCAUAUGAAUAAGGAUCGGCUAACUCCGUGCCAGCAGCCGCGGUAAUACGGAGGAUCCUAGCGUUAUCCGGAUUUAUUGGGUUUAAAGGGAGCGUAGGUGGAUUUUUAAGUCAGUUGUGAAAGUUUUCGGCUCAACCGUAAAAUUGCAGUUGAAACUGGCAGUCUUGAGUACAGUAGAGGUGUGCGGAAUUCGUGGUGUAGUGGUGAAAUGCUUAGAUAUCACGAAGAACUCAGAUUGCGAAGGUAGUUCACUGGACUGCAACUGACACUGAGGCUCGAAAGUGUGGGUAUCAAACAGGAUUAGAUACCCCAGUAGUC